UACAAUGUUUUGAUUAUUUGUUUUAUUUAAAACUUUUUUACGAUUAAUAUUUUUAUUCUUACUAGAUUAUAAAUUAUGAAUAAUAUUUUAUGCGUGACUAAUUUUUUUAAAUUUUUUAACAAAUUUUUUAAAUAAAACGAAUGGUCAAACGUUAGACGCGGAAAAAC
rnacentral:pre_miRNA from 1 species